rnacentral:rRNA from 1 species
UGCCAGCAGCCGCGGUAAUACGGAGGGUGCAAGCGUUGUCCGGAUUUAUUGGGUUUAAAGGGUCCGUAGGCGGGACAAUAAGUCAGAGGUGAAAGCCCACAGCUCAACUGUGGAACUGCCUUUGAUACUGUUGUUCUUGAAUUCGGUCGAAGUGGGCGGAAUAAGUAGUGUAGCGGUGAAAUGCAUAGAUAUUACUUAGAACACCGAUAGUGAAGACAGCUCACUAGACCUGGAUUGACGCUGAGGCGCGAAUGCGUGGGUAGCGAACGGGAUUAGAUA